GUUGCCGUUGCCGAGUGGUUAAGGCGAUGGACAUGAAAUCUUUUGGGAUUUUCCCGCGCAAGUUCGAAUCCUGCCGACAACG
rnacentral:tRNA from 1 species